CUCCCUGCACCCGACUUAUGUUGGGUUUUCAGGCAGUGUAGUUAGCUGAUUGUGUUAACAUAAGACUUGCAAUCACUAGCUAAACUACCAGCAAAACUAAACAUGAAAGUACUGUCUGACGU
rnacentral:precursor_RNA from 14 species